rnacentral:misc_RNA from 1 species
GAUGAAGAACGUAGCGAAAUGCGAUAAGUAAUGUGAAUUGCAGAAUUCAGUGAAUCAUCGAAUCUUUGAACGCACAUUGCGCCCAUUAGUAUUCUAGUGGGCAUGCCUGUUCGAGCGUCAUUAAGUCCACUUAAGCCCUGCUUAGUGUUGGGAGACUGCUCCAGCGGUGCUACCCUGUAGCUACCCUGCAGCUCCUCAAAGACAGCGGCGGAGUUGUGGUAUCCUCUGAGCUUAGUAACUUGUUCUAGCUUUCAAGUACACCACUUCCCCUGCCGUAAAACCCUUAAUUUUUAAUGGUUGACCUCGGAUCAGGUAGGAAUACCCGCUGAACUUAAGCAUAUCAAUAAGCGGAGGA